rnacentral:rRNA from 1 species
UCCGCACGAGCGCACCCUUGUCAUUAGUUGCUACGAAAGGGCACUCUAAUGAGACUGCCGAUGACAAACCGGAGGAAGGUGGGGAUGACGUCAAGUCCUCAUGGCCCUUAUGGGUAGGGCUUCACACGUCAUACAAUGGUCGGUACAGAGGGUUGCCAAGCCGCGAGGUGGAGCCAAUCCCAGAAAACCGAUCGUAGUCCGGAUCGCAGUCUGCAACUCGACUGCGUGAAGUCGGAAUCGCUAGUAAUCGCGGAUCAGAAUGCCGCGGUGAAUACGUUCCCGGGUCUUGUACACACCGCCCGUCACACCAUGGGAGUGGGUUCUACCAGAAGUGGCUAGUCUAACCGCAAGGAGGACGGUCACCACGGUAGGAUUCAUGACUGGGGUGAAGUCGUAACAAGGUAGCCGUAUCGGAAGGUGCGGCUGGAUCACCUCCUUU